rnacentral:rRNA from 1 species
UGUGAUCUUUCUUAACCUGGUAUAAUGGAAGUUACCCUCUGAAUUUAAGCAUAUAAGUAAGUGGUGGAAAAGAAACUUCAAAGGAUUCUUCAAGUAAUGGCGAAUGAAGAAGGAAGAGCUCAUAACUAGAAGCAAAGCCGUGUGCUUUGCGUUGUAAUAUCUUGAUCCGUGACCAGCAGGGCGGCAUGUGUACGUCUUUUGGAAAAAAGCGCAACGAAUGGUGAAAGCCCAGUUCAACACAUGUUUUGCCCGGCGUAACGUCCGGAAUCUCAGAGUCGCGUUCCCUGGGACGGGAGCGUAAAUUAGAUGGUAUAUUUCAUCUAAAGCUAAAUAUCUUCUCGAGUCCGAUAGAGAACAAGUACCAUGAGGGAAAGAUGAAAAGUACUUUGAAAAGAGGGUUAGACGCGCCUGCAACCACUGUAUUACAAGCACUUGGAUCCUUCCAGUUCGCUGGAUCAGUGAGUCGUUCGAAUCGCCAAGCGUGACCCAGUGGAUCGUGCGGUGUUUUGUCCAGGCUUGCGGAAUCCGGCAGAUACUAUCGGUGCAACUAACGGGUCUGUCAGCCAAUCUCGUUGGACCGCUCCUAGAGUGGAUCGCGUGAUGUAGUCGCAGAUCUAAGUUUUGUUUUCUGGAAAGCUGCAUUUUCUUGCAUAGUUACUCCUUAAUUCAUUUGACUGCGUUUACGCUGAUUUUGGGUUGGGUUUAGCUGUAAGGUACAGUCUUUCCGCGGCGCCGAUUCGGUAAAGGUUUCAAAUGACCCGUCUUGAAAC